rnacentral:rRNA from 1 species
UGGGGAAUAUUGCACAAUGGGCGAAAGCCUGAUGCAGCAACGCCGCGUGAGCGAUGAAGGCCUGGUCGUAAAGCUCUGUCCUCAAGGAAGAUAAUGACGGUACUUGAGGAGGAAGCCCCGGCUAACUACGUGCC